UAAGAAGGGUGCGAGCGUUGUUCGGAAUUAUUGGGCGUAAAGGGUUCGUAGGCGGGAGAGCAAGUUGAGUGUGAAAACCCCGGGCUUAACCUGGGACGUGCACUCAAGACUGUUUUUCCUGAGUAUGGGAGAGGGUGGUGGAAUUGCUGGUGUAGGAGUGACAUCCGUAGAGAUCAGCAGGAACGCCGGAGGCGAAAGCGACCACCUGGUCCAAAACUGACGCUGAGGAACGAAAGCGUGGGGAGCAAACAGG
rnacentral:rRNA from 1 species